ensembl:lncRNA
CAAAAGGCCCCGUCUGCUGGCUUUCCUUUUCUUUUUCCCUCUGUAAAGCUGAAGUGGGGAUCAGUUUCCAAGCAGGGAAGGGGACAGAACAGGAGCCAAAGUGACCCCGCAGAGCACCCAGGGGGAUGCAAGGACAGAAGUGACCUUCAGGUUCUGUCUCUGAAAACCUUGCCACCAGGCCUGCAGUUUGGCACAUUUUCUUGGAAUCUGCAACCUUGUCCUGGCUUCAGUGCAUUCAAAUAUCCAACUUUUGUCUUUCGUUUUACUUACAGCUUUAUACUAUCUUCCUCCACCCUGCAUGCUGCCCCCACAACCAGCAGUAUUGGUUGGGGGCCGUAACACAAGCACCUGCUGCCUAGCAGAUCUACUAUGUUGAAUUCCCCAUGGUGAUACCUAGAAUCACAGAAUCA